rnacentral:rRNA from 1 species
UGUCUGGGAAACUGCCCGAUGGAGGGGGAUAACUACUGGAAACGGUAGCUAAUACCGCAUAACGUCUUCGGACCAAAGUGGGGGACCUUCGGGCCUCACACCAUCGGAUGUGCCCAGAUGGGAUUAGCUAGUAGGUGAGGUAAUGGCUCACCUAGGCGACGAUCCCUAGCUGGUCUGAGAGGAUGACCAGCCACACUGGAACUGAGACACGGUCCAGACUCCUACGGGAGGCAGCAGUGGGGAAUAUUGCACAAUGGGCGCAAGCCUGAUGCAGCCAUGCCGCGUGUGUGAAGAAGGCCUUCGGGUUGUAAAGCACUUUCAGCGAGGAGGAAGGGUUCGGUGUUAAUAGCACUGUUCAUUGACGUUACUCGCAGAAGAAGCACCGGCUAACUCCGUGCCAGCAGCCGCGGUAAUACGGAGGGUGCAAGCGUUAAUCGGAAUUACUGGGCGUAAAGCGCACGCAGGCGGUUUGUUAAGUCAGAUGUGAAAUCCCCGAGCUUAACUUGGGAACUGCAUUUGAAACUGGCAAGCUAGAGUCUUGUAGAGGGGGGUAGAAUUCCAGGUGUAGCGGUGAAAUGCGUUAGAGAUCUGGAGGAAUACCGGUGGCGAAAGGCGGCCCCCUGGACAAAGACUGACGCUCAGGUGCGAAAAGCGUGGGGGAGCAAACAGGAUUAGAUACCCUGGUAGUCCACGCU